GAUGGGCCUGUUCAGCUCAUAAAUAUAAGUAGCCAACCCUCACAGUGAACCUGAAAGACAAGUCCCCGUGUCUUUAGUAUCAGCUUUGGUGACAGCGAAGACUUACAAACAUCGUGCAGAGCAUCCCACAGGUGACUCGCUCAGUUGAUGAGGUGUGAAACAGAGGCAGACCUUGGCACCCAGAGCAUUCCUCGGCAGAAGACCGAACUGCAGCGUGAAUGACACAGUCACGCAGAAUUGUAAUAAACAUUUGGAUGACUAA